UGAAUACGAGACGCUAAGGCGUCGAAGUAGUGUAUGUCAUACUUCCAAGAAAAGCUUGCACUGUCAUAGAUAAAAAACGCCUGUACCAUAACCGACACAGGUGGGUAGGUAGAGUAUACUAAGGGGCGCGAGAUAACUCUCUCUAAGGAACUCGGCAAAAUAACUCCGUAACUUCGGGAGAAGGAGUGCCUUAUUCGUAAGGUUGCAAUAACAAGAUCCAAGCAACUGUUUAUCAAAAACACAGGUCUCCGCUAAGUCGUAAGACGAUGUAUGGGGGCUGACGCCUGCCCAGUGCCAGAAGGUUAAAGAAGUUGGUUAGCAAUUGCGAAGCUGAUAACUGAAGCCCUGGUGAACGGCGGCCGUAACUAUAACGGUCCUAAGGUAGCGAAAUUCCUUGUCGGGUAAGUUCCGACCCGCACGAAAGGCGUAAUGAUUUGGAUACUGUCUCGGAGAGGGGCUCGGUGAAAUAGACUUGUCUGUGAAGAUGCGGACUACCUGCACCAGGACAGAAAGACCCUAUGAAGCUUUACUGUAACUUGAAAUUGAAAUUGGACUUUAUUCGCGCAGCAUAGGUGGGAGGCGUUGAUUAUAAUCUUGCGGGAUUAUUGGAGCCAUCAGUGAGAUACCACUCUUGUAAUGUUAGAUUUCUAACUUUGAAUCAUUAUCUGGUCAAAGAACAGUUUCAGGCGGGCAGUUUGACUGGGGCGGUCGCCUCCUAAACGGUAACGGAGGCGUACAAAGGUUUCCUCUGAACGGUUAGAAAUCGUAUCUAGAGUGUAAAGGCAUAAGGAAGCUUGACUGUGAGACCUACAAGUCGAGCAGGGACGAAAGUCGGUCUUAGUGAUCUGACGGUACUGAGUGGAAAGGCCGUCACUCAACGGAUAAAAGUUACUCUAGGAUAACAGGCUGAUCUCCCCCAAGAGUUCACAUCGACGGGGAGGUUUGGCACCUUGAUGUCGGCUCAUCGCAUCCUUGGGCGGUAGUACGUCCCAAGGGUUGGGCUGUUCGCCCAUGAAAGCGGUACGCGAGCUGGGUUCAGAACGUCGUGAGACAGUUCGGUCCAUAUCCGGUGUAGGCGUUAGAUUAUUGAGAGGAGCCUUCUUUAGUGCGAGAGGACCGAGAAGGACAUACCUCUGGUGUACCAGUUAUCGUGCCAACGGUAAACGCUGGGUAGCUAUGUAUGGAGUGGAUAACCGCUGAAAGCAUCUAAGUGGGAAGCCCACCUCAAGAUAAG
rnacentral:rRNA from 1 species